rnacentral:rRNA from 1 species
CCUACGGGAGGCUGCAGUGGGGGAUAUUGCUCAAUGGGCGGAACCCUGAUCCAGCGACGCCGCGUGGGUGAAGAAGGCCCUCGGCGCGUAAAGCUCUGUUAGUAGGGAAGAAAAGGACGGUACGUGAAGAAGUAGCCACGGCUAAUUACGUGCCAGCAGACGCGGUAAUACGGCGGGCGCCAGCGUUAUCCGGAGUUAAUGGGUGUAACGGGGGCGCAGGCGGUUAUGCAAGCCAGGAGUGAAAGCCGGGGGCCCAACCCCGGGACUGCCGUUGGAACUGCGUGGCUGGAGUGCAGGAGAGGCAGGCGGAAUUCCUGGUGUAGCGGUGAAAUGCGUAGAUAUCAGGAAGAACACCGGUGGCGAAGGCGGCCGGCUGGACUGUAACUGACGUUGAGGCCCGAAAGCGUGGGGAGCAAACAGGAUUAGAUACCCUAGUAGUC